GACUUGAUCACGGAAAAUGUACUAAGAAGAACCCCAGGAAAUCCUUUGGGUUCAGUGCUCUCCUGGCUCUCAUAGGUUAUGAAGACUGGAAAUCUGAGAUCAUGCUGCCAGCAUAAUCAAGUUCCACUGAAGACUCUCUUUCUGCUGUGCAGAUGGCUGAGGACACACAUGACCUUGAAACAUGCACAUGGUUGACACCUGGUUCCUCCUGUACCUACAGGCCAUGAGAGGACUGAGAAUUCGACCUGACAUAACCAGCAUUCCAUGGAGAGCCUACUGCUCCAGCUUAUGUAGAAAGGAACUGCUUCCAUUAACAAGACCAUUGUAGGGAUGUUUGAGAUUUCAAAUUUCUCAGAUUUAAAAAAAAAAAUCCAUCUGAACAAUGUAAUUAGUA